CACCAGACUCCUACGGGAGGCAGCAGUGGGGGAUAUUGCACAAUGGGGGAAACCCUGAUGCAGCGACGCCGCGUGAGUGGAGAAGUAAUUCGUUACGUAAAGCUCUAUCAGCAGGGAAGAAAAUGACGGUACCUGAAGAAGAAGCCCCGGCUAACUACGUGCCAGCAGCCGCGGUAAUACGUAGGGGGCAAGCGUUAUCCGGAUUUACUGGGUGUAAAGGGGGCGCAGACGGCGAUGCAAGCCAGGAGUGAAAGCCCGGGGCCCAACCCCGGGACUGCUCUUGGAACUGCGUGGCUGGAGUGCAGGAGGGGCAGGCGGAAUUCCUGGUGUAGCGGUGAAAUGCGUAGAUAUCAGGAGGAACACCGGUGGCGAAGGCGGCCUGCUGGACUGCAACUGACGUUGAGGCCCGAAAGCGUGGGGAGCAAACAGGAUUAGAUACCCUAGUAG
rnacentral:rRNA from 1 species